rnacentral:rRNA from 1 species
UACGGGGGGGGCAAGCGUUGUUCGGAAUUACUGGGCGUAAAGGGCUCGUAGGCGGCCAACUAAGUCAGACGUGAAAUCCCUCGGCUCAACCGGGGAACUGCGUCCGAUACUGGUGGGCUCGAAUCCGGGAGAGGGAUGUGGAAUUCCAGGUGUAGCGGUGAAAUGCGUAGAUAUCUGGAGGAACACCGGUGGCGAAGGCGGCAUCCUGGGCCGGUAUUGACGCUGAUGCGCGAAAGCCAGGGGAGCAAACGGG